AGCGGACGCGCGGCGCUGGCCCGGAGCCUACCCAUGAGGCAGCGCGCCGGCCGCCCGCCGGAGCCUUCCCGGCCCGGGCGCCGCUCCGCGACGGAGCCGCUGCCUCAGCCGCACGCUCCUCCUCUUCCUCCUCCUCCUCAGGGCUGCCGUCAGGUCGACCCGCUCCACUCACGGGUUGAAGUCUGAAUCUUAAGGACUCGACGUCUCUUACUGCCCUUAUACGUAAAAGUGAGACGGAGCAUUUGAGUACAGAAGCUGCCCCUUGGCCUUGGCUAGGGGCCUGCGUGGGGCAUCUGUACCCACGCAGGGAGGAGUGGGCCGGCGAGGCCCCGGCUGGAGGGCUGUGUGCUUUGUGACGGCCUGACAUAAUGCCAUUACAGGGUCUCCCUAUGUAGUUCAGGCUGGCGAUCCUCCUGUCUCAGCCUCCUGAAUGGUGAGAAUACAGCCAUGUGCCACCAUACCCAGCUAAAAUACAAGAUUUUAAGUCAAAUAUUAGUCAUUGGUCUCUUUUUCAAUUAAGGAGCUUUCAGCUAAGAAUUUGAGUUUCAGAGGAGACUUGGACUUUGGACUUUUCAGCAGUACUGGAACAGUUAGGACUUUGGCAACUCGUAGAAGUGGACUAAAUGCAGUUUGCAUAAACAGAUAUGCAUGAAUAAGCCUAUGGGGAGCAGGAUGGAAUGUUACAGUUUAUAUCUAGAUGCCCCUCCCCCCAAGUUUCAUUUGCAUAUAGGUAUAGUACUCUCCCUCUCCUGUGGCUCACCUUAUUUUCUCUGCUUUCUGGCCAUUUUGAGCAGUUCUCUUCUGCUAUGCCUUUCUGCCAUGCCGACUUUCUUUGGAGCCAAUGGACUGUGGACUGAAACUUCUAUAGACUGUG
rnacentral:lncRNA from 1 species